GCCAUGCCGGGUAGACGUGUUGGGAAUGAACUCCGGACGUUUAGGCACUAGUUUGAGGUUUUAUACCCACAAACUCGACUAAACAACGAAAUCUAACCCUCUCUCGCUGCACCUGAGCUCAAUGCAAGCGACAAUACCUUACUUGAAGCUGACACACUCCCGGAGAGUGGACUGAUUGAUCUGUGGCCUGGUGUACCCUGGAGAAGCGGCCGAUCUCACAUAGGGGACCACCCCGAAAGCGGCUGAAAUCACCUUUAGGAGCCCCGUUUCCCCCCCCCUGGACCGGUGGGGGAUAUCCCGGUCCAGGAAGCACCCCCACUGAUACAAGCAUUACUGCAUUGUGGCCGACCAAUGCUGAAAUGCAGCGAACCACCAAAGAUGGCUGAUGCCACGUGCGCAGACCACGCUAGACAAAAUCUUUGUGGACUUCUGGGCGAAAUUAAACAGCUGACUACAAGCACCCACCCUGCAGACGCCGGGCCCUACCUCACUACACGAGCAGCCCCCGAGCACUCUGUGCCUUCCAGCUGCUCUGGCUCCAAGUAGGCGGCCACAACGCAACCACCGUCCUGCCGCAAAAACCAAGCGAAACUCAGCGCAAUUACCGGCAUUCCGUCGGAGGGGCGGUCCAGAAGGUGCACCAGUAAAGCGAACACCUACUGUCCGAAGACAUGCUAGCACCCCUGCCUCCCGGCCGAGAUCAGCAACCUUUAGAAGCUGGGCAGGGGGACACGCCACUGCCACGAACCCUCCCCUCCCUUUCCCACAUGGCAAAGGGACAACGCUGCAACACGGAAGGUACUCUGAGGGGAGCCCAGCACGCAACAACCUAGAUCUCAGCCUGGGCCAGAUCCUGAUGGACUUAUACACAAGGUAUUUGAGGCCAUGCAGGGGACUUUCUCACUCAUUCUAGGGGAUGGCCUCCAUGUGCUUAGUCCCAACUACCUGCUAACCCAAUUGUUUUUACCUCUCAUUUAUGUUCAACACAUUGUAACACCAUCAUCUUUUAAGCAGUCAGUUAGCAUACUCAUGUUUCCACAUACUUCCUUUCUACAGUAUAAUCUACCGACAUGUCAGGCUCUACCUUCCUAAAAGCAUGAUGUUACUGUGUUAUGUGUAGCACUCUUGUCAUAUCAUAGUAUACUUAUAAGCACAGCAGGCUAACCCUCAUCUGGUGUUACCUACCCCAUAGAGUUUAACCUUAGAUACACAGCCUGUUUCUUCUAUGCCAUACCGUUCUGUUCAAAUCACACGGUGUUCCUCUACUAUAUGUGUCCUCUUAAAAUGACCAUCUUGUACUUAAAUAUAAAAUUUGUGCACUGUUCCCACAUACCCUACUGUUAUCAUUGUUCUGAUAUAUGCAAGUGGACUGCCGUUGGGGUACCGCAUGCCUGUAUGUUACCCUCAUAUGCACUGCAAAAAUUUAAUAAAUAAAUAAAUAAAUAAAUAUGGCAUAGAAGAAGAAUUUCCUGAUGCACAUCCUAAUGAAAUGGGUUGUGCACGCGGCACGUCUAUGUGUAGCAUGUGGCGGCUUUACUGGAGUCUGGGCAAAUUAGUUGCCCAGGCAGACCCGACAAAGAGCCUAAAGACUGGCUGGUCAGCCAGACUGCUGUAGAGGCAGGGAUGGGGGCAUAUGUUAUGUCAUGACAUGGGUGGAUGAUAUUGAUAGGACAUUGUGAUGUAACAAUAUGGGGUUGGGCAAAUACUUUUUUUGCUUAGGGUGGCAGAAAUCCUUGCACCGGCCCUGCAUGCCAGUGACAUGUCUUGCAUCACUGGUGACACCCAAAAGGGAAGGUCAACACAGAAAGGUUUGUGCCUGCAUGAAAAGAUGUGGUACCAUCCAAAAAAAGAGGAAGAUCAGUCUGGUGUGAAUGCACACCAGGAAAACGUCCAAUAAAGGUGGGUGGCAUAGCUGAAGGCAGCAAAUGCACAGAAUGCUGUUAACGUGUUCUGCACAUUUAGUUAAUGCAGUUUGCACGGCAUGAGCAGGUUCGAUUAUGUGCUCAAUUUUAUGGUCUCUGGUGUCCUCAAACAGUGAGGCAAUACCCAGAACUCCAGACUGUCCAUGUGAACUUUACAUAGGUUGGAGAUAUACGGAAUCUUACUCUAAAUUGACUCACUAGACCAGUGGUUUCCAAACCAGUCCUCAAGGCAUGCCUACCAGUCCUAGGAUUUAGGAAUUACCCACUUGUGUUAAGGUGUUUCUUUCUUUUUUUUUUUUUUUUAGCACCUUAGACACCACUGGGUAAUCCCUAAAUCCUGGACUUGUAGAAGUGACUUAAGGACUGGUUUGGAAACCACUGCACUUGAUCUAGAUGUGACGCUUACUUAAAACUUUGCUGAAUCUCAUUGGAGGUUUACUUACACUCUAUACCAUGGGCUCUACUAAGCAGCUGGCUGGAGAUCAAAAAAUAAACAUAAUUGACAAAUAGGGGAACAACAACAACAGCAUAUCUAUAUAUAGGAAAUUUGUGAUUUUUUUUUUUGUGUGUGAUGAGCUAAUCUUUGAAUGCAGAUUCUGAGGACCUGUUGAAGUCAGGGCUGAUUUGCAGAAUUUAUAGUGGUAAAUUUUGCAAAAUGGGCAAAUGUAAUAGAAACAUUAUUGCAUGAAAUAAAUAUAUGAAACAUGGUAACACCACCCUCUUAAUUCCUGCCACUAAAUCAGGACAGUUCAAAGAAUCUCUAUCUAGAAAACUCUUCCUUAAUUGAACCACAUGACCUGUUCAGAUUUAGACAAUUUAUGGAAAGUUGCCGGAAACUGUGGUAGAAUGCUAGUCAAAAACAAACUGGAACUUGAGAUAAUUAAUAACAGCCUCGGGCAGACGGGUUGCUGAAAAUGAUAUUGUAAAGUAUAUACCUUUAUCUUUAAAAUAAUUCCAUAUUCUAUUAUUAUUAUUAUUAUAGUACUAAUCUAUUAAUACAUUGUGGUAGCCAAGUUUUAAACAAAUGCACAUCCAAUGCAUUUUUUGACUGUGGUUCCUUUACCCACCUACUACUGGACAUCUACUACCCAUUAGAAGCAGGGAUGAAUUAUCCAAAAAGCGCAGUAAAACUUUGACCAGCAUUACUCCAAAUAAACAAACAAACAAAAAAAAAAGCAUCUUGUUUGGGUUAGUGUUUAUUUUUGUAGUGAAUAUAAUUUAUAAAAUGCUGCUCUUGGAGAAAAACCUAUAACGAGCAUAAAAUGAUUUCCAUAAUAACUUUCUGGUUUGGACAUUGUUGAAGAACAUAAUCUCUUCAUAAUCCGCAAGCCUAGUGGAAAAGAAAAGAAAAAACUAACAAUCUAUUAGCCUGACAGAUUUGGUGAAGGGAGCUUUGAUUAAAAGCAGAAAAGCAUUCUAGUUUUGAGUGGAGUGACUUGUGAAUCCUGAAAUCUAUUUGUGGUAAGAGCACUUCAGUCUGCAAACACUGAAAGUAUUCAUUACUCUUCUUAUGGUUGUAGAGACAAAGUCAUGCAUUUUAAAUCUGCAUAUAAACAGUAAAUUGCCCUCCUAAUAAUGAUGGUGUCAACUCAAUGCCCAGCUCCAUCUUAACUUGUCAAGUCACACAGCUGAACAUAAAUUACUUAGAGUGAACUUGCAAAAAAUAAAUAUUCAGUUGAUUUUGUUUUUUAACCCCUCACUGCAUGGAUUAUUUGUAACAUGCAUGGCAAAAACACUUGUUCAUGUAUAAAAUGCUAGUGAGAUAAUAAUAUUAAUUAAAUUACACAAUGUUUGUUUUUUUUAUUUAAAGAAAUAUUGGGGAUAGAAAGUUCAAGACAAUGUACAGAGAUAUGAGCAGUGACACUGCAGGGGAAUUAUCUAUACACUAAAACUGCUUAAUAGGCUAAAGUUGUUUUGGUUCUCUGGGUAUCCCUUUAAAAUAAGCAACAUAUUGAGACAAGCACAAAAUUUGAACAAACACAAAAUCCUCAAUGAUCAAGAAUUAUGAUGAUUACCUAAUUGAGUGUACAAAUCAUAUAAGAGAUUAACAGACAGCAAAGCACUACCACUGCUAUUGUUCUUCUCAGCCACUACUACCACUCCCAGCAAUAUUCUAUUUUCUCCUCCCUCCAUCCAUAUCCCCAUCCAUCUUUUUCUCAUCUUGCCUCAGGCUUCAGUCAGUCAAGCUAGAAGAGAGGUAAACCUUAAUCAGAUGGCCAGGGGCUGCUCUUUGAUCACACCUGUAACCUAACCACCUCACCCGUUUUGUACUAGGAUCAAAGACAUAAUCGUCCUAUCUGCCACACAGAGUUUAUGUAAGUGGCACAAUCAAUGUCCAAAAUGCUUUUUGAAAUUGCCAAGUUGAGGAUCUGAAGCACCGAUAGGUAUACAAUUCCAGAUUAAUGUUGCCAAAAUCCUUGAGCAACCCAUAGUGGAUCUGGUGCACAGAGUGUCCCUUAUUGUCUCUCUUUUGCAGCUUCUGUUCUAUGAGUUUACAUUAAUUUAAUAUUUUAUUAUGUUCAAUUUAUGUAACAUUUUGGUAAGAUGAGAUUUGUUCACUAAAAUUAAGCAAAAGGUCUUAUUGCUCCCAACACCUCUUGGUAGAGGAGUAAUAUCAUUUACUUCCAUUGCCUUGACCUUCCCCUCAUUUCAAAUGUCCUUUUCAAUUUUAUCCCAUGGCCACCUAUUAAGUGUGAUAUAUGUAUUCUUGAAUCCUGAAUAUUACUAAUUGGCAACAGUGGUCAGAAUCUUACAUAGAACCCAACCAUCUAUAUAGUUGGAUUUCUAGAAAGACCAAAAGUAUGCCUUUCUAUGUAGCAUAUUGCCUUCAUCUCUCUUUUCCUUGUCAUUAAAUACUGUAGAUACCAACAUAUGGCUCUCAUGCAAUAUGUUUUUUUCUGUUUCUUUGAUAAUUGAAAGAAUAUACAAACUUCUUUCACUGGAGACAGUUUACUUUUGUAAUGGUCUUCUCCCUGUUUGUACAAUUGUAAGAGUUGAAAGUGACUAGGUUUGUAAUUUGUUGACAUGAUCCCCACCUCUUGCCAGUAUGAUUGUUUGAUUCUUACACUUCCAUGCUGAUCUUAUGUCAUGACUGACUCUAUAUGUUUUGAUCAAUGAUCCAGUCUUCUAUGCGUGAAAUCAUCACAUUAUAAUCAUCUCAUUAUAUUAUUAUCCAUUGAAAUACAUUUUGUGGAAUGUAGGAUAUUAUAGAGCUGUCAGGGUUCUUUUUGUUCUGUUUAUUCUGUUCUUUUAAAACAAAGUUCCUGCACUGAUUAUGUUUGACCACUACUGUCCUCCCUUGCCUCUAGUUCUGAAAACUUACCUUAUAAUCCUCACCUGCCUGGACUAAUUGAGUGACCUACAAAAGGCCUCACCCAACUCCCCAC